CUCGAUAGCGUAACACAUGCAAGUCGAACGGCAGCACGGACUUCGGUCUGGUGGCGAGUGGCGAACGGGUGAGUAAUGUAUCGGAACGUGCCUAGUAGCGGGGGAUAACUACGCGAAAGCGUAGCUAAUACCGCAUACGCCCUACGGGGGAAAGCAGGGGAUCGCAAGACCUUGCACUAUUAGAGCGGCCGAUAUCGGAUUAGCUAGUUGGUGGGGUAACGGCUCACCAAGGCGACGAUCCGUAGCUGGUUUGAGAGGACGACCAGCCACACUGGGACUGAGACACGGCCCAGACUCCUACGGGAGGCAGCAGUGGGGAAUUUUGGACAAUGGGGGAAACCCUGAUCCAGCCAUCCCGCGUGUGCGAUGAAGGCCUUCGGGUUGUAAAGCACUUUUGGCAGGAAAGAAACGUCAUGGGCUAAUACCCCGUGAAACUGACGGUACCUGCAGAAUAAGCACCGGCUAACUACGUGCCAGCAGCCGCGGUAAUACGUAGGGUGCAAGCGUUAAUCGGAAUUACUGGGCGUAAAGCGUGCGCAGGCGGUUCGGAAAGAAAGAUGUGAAAUCCCAGAGCUUAACUUUGGAACUGCAUUUUUAACU
rnacentral:rRNA from 1 species